UAAAUGAAAAAGGGCUACACGAUACA
rnacentral:piRNA from 1 species